GGAAUAUUGGGCAAUGGGCGAAAGCCUGACCCAGCGACGCCGCGUGAGGGAUGAAGGUCUUCGGAUUGUAAACCUCUUUCAGUAGGGAAGAAGCGAAAGUGACGGUACCUAAAGAAGAAGCACCGGCUAACUAUGUGCCAGCAGCCGCGGUAAUACAUAGGGUGCAAGCGUUGUCCGGAAUUAUUGGGCGUAAAGAGCUCGUAGGUCGUUUGUCGCGUCGAUUGUGAAAAUCUGAGGCUCAACCUCAGACCUGCAGUCGAUACGGGCAAACUAGAGUGUGGUAGGGGAGACUGGAAUUCCUGGUGUAGCGGUGGAAUGCGCAGAUAUCAGGAGGAACACCAAUGGCGAAGGCAGGUCUCUGGGCCAUAACUGACACUGAGGAGCGAAAGUGCGGGGAGCGAACAGGGUUAGAUACCCUGGUAGUCCGCACCGUAAACGGUGGGCACUAGUUGUGGGAACCUUCCACGGUUUCCGCGACGCAGCAAACGCAUUAAGUGCCCCGCCUGGGGAGUACGAUCGCAAGAUUAAAACUCAAAGGAAAUGACGG
rnacentral:rRNA from 1 species